UCAUCACCUAAAGAACCCAAUCCCUCAAAUGUAACCAUCCAACAGGUUAUGGGCCCAGAAUUUAUAAGGUAAUAUUUAUUAUAAUUUGCUAAUUAAAAAAAGCCAACAACAUCACCAUGGAAACGAAACUGUUUGUAAAUUUUUUUCUUAGCAACCAAUAUGUAAUGAAUUUAAUGAAAAUAAAACCAUUCAAAAAUAUUUAAAAUGUUAUAAAAGGCUGAAAGACCAAACAGAAAAUUAUUAUAAGAGCAUGAGAUAAGGUAAUAGAAGGAAGAACACUAACAUAAGUAACAAAUAAAGAUAAUCGUAAAGACGAAGUCGACGAAGUUCGAGAAGGUGAAAUAGGAAGAAAUGGAGAGUUAGUGGAGUUCGAGAAGGUGAUAUUUGAGGAAAUAAUACUAAUGGAGUAUAAUGAAGUUCGAGAAGGUGAAAUAGGAAGAAAUGGAGAGUUAGUGGAGUUCGAGAAGGUGAUAUUUGAGGAAAUAAUACUAAUGGAGUAUAAUGUAGUUUGAGAAGGUGAUAUAGGAAGAAACGGAGAGUUAGUGGAGUUCGAGAAGGAUAUAUUAGAAGAAAUAAUAGUAAUGGAGUGUAAUGAAGUGGAAAUGGCGUAAAGUUCGAGAAGAUGUUGUUAAAAGGCGAAAUAAUAGAGAAUGAAAUGAAAAUGGAACAAAUGAUAGCAGAUUAACAAAUGAAAAUCUGGUCAUGGAAAACUUUGAGACUUUAAGUGUAUUCAUUUUUAAAAAAGUGAACUUGUGUUUCGGGAGAAAUUGGUUAGUUUAUAAGAUUGAUAGGGAAAUUUAAAUGCUAUAUACAACAAGAGAUAUAAUUAAAAAGAGACAAGGAUAAUUCAUAAAGUAAGGGGGUGUUUUCAAUGAAUUCAAAAUUAAGAGGGUGCUCUUUUUCAACAGAGAUAAACAAUUAAGGGGGUGAUCAUAAAAUUUUUUUUUUUUUUUUAUUAAUUAUACUAUAAAUACAAUAGAUAGUCUAGCCGUGGAGGAAGUACACAUUAUUUGAUACAAACAUAUUUACAGUCGUUUUUUAAAAUCCUUUUGAAUCUCUUUUAUAGUUUUGUUUUAUUGUUGUUUUAUAAUAGAUGUUAGGAAUUUUGGUUUGUGUUAUAUUAAAAUAAUUGAACGGAUAUGUGAAAAAAGUGGGAAAAUUUAGGAAGUGAAAAAA